rnacentral:rRNA from 1 species
CGAGAGAAUUGCUAGCUUGCUAAUAAUUCUCUAGUGGCGCACGGGUGAGUAACACGUGAGUAACCUGCCCCCGAGAGCGGGAUAGCCCUGGGAAACUGGGAUUAAUACCGCAUAGUAUCGAAAGAUUAAAGCAGCAAUGCGCUUGGGGAUGGGCUCGCGGCCUAUUAGUUAGUUGGUGAGGUAACGGCUCACCAAGGCGAUGACGGGUAGCCGGUCUGAGAGGAUGUCCGGCCACACUGGAACUGAGACACGGUCCAGACACCUACGGGUGGCAGCAGUCGAGAAUCAUUCACAAUGGGGGAAACCCUGAUGGUGCGACGCCGCGUGGGGGAAUGAAGGUCUUCGGAUUGUAAACCCCUGUCAUGUGGGAGCAAAUUAAAAAGAUAGUACCACAAGAGGAAGAGACGGCUAACUCUGUGCCAGCAGCCGCGGUAAUACAGAGGUCUCAAGCGUUGUUCGGAAUCACUGGGCGUAAAGCGUGCGUAGGCUGUUUCGUAAGUCGUGUGUGAAAGGCGCGGGCUCAACCCGCGGACGGCACAUGAUACUGCGAGACUAGAGUAAUGGAGGGGGAACCGGAAUUCUCGGUGUAGCAGUGAAAUGCGUAGAUAUCGAGAGGAACACUCGUGGCGAAGGCGGGUUCCUGGACAUUAACUGACGCUGAGGCACGAAGGCCAGGGGAGCGAAAGGGAUUAGAUACCCCUGUAGUCCUGGCAGUAAACGGUGCACGCUUGGUGUGCGGGGAAUCGACCCCCUGCGUGCCGGAGCUAACGCGUUAAGCGUGCCGCCUGGGGAGUACGGUCGCAAGAUUAAAACUCAAAGAAAUUGACGGGGACCCGCACAAGCGGUGGAGUAUGUGGCUUAAUUCGAUGCAACGCGAAGAACCUUACCUGGGCUUGACAUGUAAUGAACAACAUG